CCGGGACCUGCAACACUGAGUCAGGCGUGGUGGCUUCAGUUAAACCUCAGGGUAGGAGGCGGGUUACACACUGAGGAACACCAAGGACCCAAACCUUUGACAAACAAACCGUGUAGAGGAGUCUCAGAUUUCUGAGCUUUUAGAGAGGGCUGCUCAGAAGACGGGUAUUAAUCAAGGGGGGGGGGGUGUCCCCUCUUAGAAGGGACAGACAAGCCCAGUGUAAGGGUACAGGAUGGAUACAGCACCGUAGGGGCAGUCUUAGGUGACCCUGAGUUGCUUAGUAAGCAGAUUAGGGCUCCCAAACCAGGACCCACCCAAGGCAGGGUGGGGAUCAAGAUGAGGCUGAAUUGUGAGUCUCACACUGUCUUCAGUUCUGGACAAGGACAGAGAAUCAAGGGUCACCAAGGCCGUCCACUUGCCCCUAGGCAGCUUGCACCCUGCCUUAGGUAUGGUCACGUCCUGUGUUGGGUGUUUAUUAACUUCAGACUCUUCCCAGGAAAGAGGAAGGUGACCAGGUUCAUUCUGCCCAUUUCACAGAUGAGGAAAUUGAUACCUGCUUGGGAAAAUAUCUCACCCUUGGGCCCUGGGGCCUGGCACUGCACCCAACCCAGGCUGCUCUCAUGGCCUUUAGUUCCCUGGUAUGCUUGCUCCUCCAGUGGAGCCCUGUGCCACAGCCCUGACAUUGUCCACUUUGCUGAUGCUGCACGCUUCCCAGGCCGAUCCCUGCAGUACGGGCAUCUCUGGUCUCCUUGGACUGACUGCGGACACUGAGGCAAAGUAGCAGUGACUUGCCUGGGCUGCGACCUGAUUCGAGGCCCUGGUGACCUGGAUACAGAGGAAAUCGGCGCCCUCCUGCCACUGGGCAGCCCUGUGAGAGCGGCAGGAUGGAAACAGCACGGGGAGUUUGCCCUGGACGUGAGGAAGGACUUCCUGUAAGAAGUGUUUAGCCAUCAGAAUAAGUGUCAGGGAAGGGUGUGGAGCGCUGGCUUCCGAAGUCCUCAGAACAAAACACAGCCUUGCCCAGCCGGGAUCACGCAGCGCUGCCCAAGGCAUGGCACCGACUGUGUGACCUUGGAGGCUCCUCUUGCCACCAAGAUCAGCAUACCCUGAUGUGAGGUGGCCAACCUGGCCACUUCCAGGGCCAGCGGGAGCGGGGCAGGAUGUGGAGCCUCCAUGAGGAGACUGUCUGGGCCCCUGACGUGGGGGGGGGGCACCCCAAAACUCAAACAGCAGGGCUGUAUUUUUUUGUGUGUCUUUUUCCUUUUUAUCGGUACCAGGGAUCAAACUCACGACUGCCUGCUUGCAAGGCAGGCGCUUAUGAGCUAAAACCCCAGCCCCAGCAGGGCUGGAUUUAACUCAGUAGCAGAACAUUUCUCUAGCAUACGUGAGGGCCUGCAUUCAGGUCUCAACACUGCAAAACAAA